AGAGUUUGAUCCUGGCUCAGAUUGAACGCUGGCGGAACGCUUUACACAUGCAAGUCGAACGGUAACGUGGGGAGGAGCUUGCUCCACCCCGACGACGAGUGGCGAACGGGUGAGUAAUACAUCGGAACGUGUCCGCUCGUGGGGGACAACCAGCCGAAAGGUUGGCUAAUACCGCAUGAGUUCUACGGAAGAAAGAGGGGGACCCGCAAGGGCCUCUCGCGAGCGGAGCGGCCGAUGACUGAUUAGCCUGUUGGUGAGGUAACGGCUCACCAAAGCAACGAUCAGUAGCUGGUCUGAGAGGACGACCAGCCACACUGGGACUGAGACACGGCCCAGACUCCUACGGGAGGCAGCAGUGGGGAAUUUUGGACAAUGGGCGCAAGCCUGAUCCAGCUAUUCCGCGUGUGGGAUGAAGGCCCUCGGGUUGUAAACCACUUUUGUAGAGAACGAAAAGACAUCUUCGAAUAAAGGAUGUUGCUGACGGUACUCUAAGAAUAAGCACCGGCUAACUACGUGCCAGCAGCCGCGGUAAUACGUAGGGUGCGAGCGUUAAUCGGAAUUACUGGGCGUAAAGGGUGCGCAGGCGGUUGAGUAAGACAGAUGUGAAAUCCCCGAGCUUAACUCGGGAAUGGCAUAUGUGACUGCUCGACUAGAGUGUGUCAGAGGGAGGUGGAAUUCCACGUGUAGCAGUGAAAUGCGUAGAUAUGUGGAAGAACACCGAUGGCGAAGGCAGCCUCCUGGGACAUAACUGACGCUCAGGCACGAAAGCGUGGGGAGCAAACAGGAUUAGAUACCCUGGUAGUCCACGCCCUAAACGAUGUUAACUAGUUGUUGGGAUGUAACAAUCUCAGUAACGCAGCCAACGCGAGAAGUUAACCGCCUGGGAAGUACGGUCGCAAGACUAAAACUCAAAGGAAUUGACGGGGACCCGCACAAGCGGUGGAUGAUGUGGAUUAAUUCGAUGCAACGCGAAAAACCUUACCUACCCUUGACAUGUCAGGAAGCUCUUGUAAUGAGAGCGUGCCCGCAAGGGAGCCUGAACA
rnacentral:rRNA from 1 species